AGUGCUGUUACAAAAAAAAAAAAAGUAAAUAAGUGACACUAGAUUUCAUUUUAACAAUCUGAAUCAUUUGCCAUUUUUCUUACGACUAAAAAUGGCUUGUCUCUUAGUUUGCUAAGAAGCAGUUAUGCGUGGGAGUGAAACCAGAUAGGAAAUUCCCCUGUAACUAAGUAUAGACCAUCACAAUAGUAUCCAAUCUUUAAAUUAGAUACAAUAGCAAACUCAAACUGUUAGAAAGAGACUAAUAUAUUUAAAAAUACCUAAAACAAAGUAUCUCUUAUCUAUUUGAAUAUAGAUAGUUUUUGUACAAACAUAAGGGAUAUUUAUUAUACAAGCAUAUGGCAGUUGGAAUCGUUUUCUAAUAAUACUCAUAUUCUUUCUAUUCUCUUUUGUGGUUUAAGUAGGGUCAUCUUAGGUUUCUCCAUGCAGGGUUAUUGCUUUAGACCAAUUUAAUUAUGCAGACAGGCUAAACAGCUGAGUUAAACACAUAAUUCAGGGAAUUAAUUCUUCUUAAAACUGCAAAAGUCAUGUGCUCUAGAGUGUUUUGUCACAACUUGGGAGGUUUGGGGAUGAACAUUAGCUGUAAUUGUACAACAUACUGAAAUACAAAAUAACAAAUCAAUUUUACCCUAGUAUGUUUUGCAACCCUAUUCAGUAUGGUUAGUUUAUGGUUCAGUUGUUGAUCCCAGAAGAUUUAUUUAAUUGGAUCAUCAUGAUUAAGAUAAGCAUAUUGUACAGACACAAUCUUUAAUACUCUAUAACAGGAAGGCAAGAAUAGGAAGCUGAAUUGUUGCAAGAAUACACAAAGCCUAAGUUAAUUCAGAAUUUCUUUCUGACGUGGGAAAAGUUCACUGUGUGUAUGUCGGAAAGAACUCCUGAGAUACCUAAGCUUUAUGCCAUUCUUGCAACAAUUUCUAUCCCUGCCUUCCUGUUAUAUCCUCUUCUUCCUGCUGUGCUCUACUUCUAGGCAAAUCUAUAAGCAUUACAGUUUCAGAGUGAUCUCUUUCUUUCCACUUCUUCUCAGGGAAACUAUUAAGUCAUGAUAGUAGUGUAAAAAAAAGAAAAGCCACUCAGAAUAUGGGUGUGGUGAGGAACCUUCUCCAUUUUCAGCCUAGAUUUUUCUAAACACCUAUCAUUUUAAUGAAUUUUGACUUUUUAGUUCUGCAUAAAUGCCUUGGGUGAGGCAAGUCUGUAGAGAUCAUAGCUACGAUUCAUCAGUAAUCUAAAAAAAAAAGAAUG